AGUCUUCCCUUCCUUAGGCCUAAACCGCCACGCCAUAUGACAGGAACUAUCAUUAGACCCCCUGACCGGCUUCCCAAACCGGUAAAAAUGUAUAUCCUUAAACUUCUCAAUGGCAGCUCUCAUCAACAAAUGAAACACAUCCGGGUCAGUGCAAUCAACAGGAUCAUCAAUCUUGCCACUACAGUCCAAAUUAUUCUCAGUGACACCACCACCAUCAGCAUUCUCCGGAACAUCAACAUCAUUGAGGUUAAUGAACGUCGUAAACGCUGUCUGAUUAACACCAAGAAAGUCCUCACCAGUCCUCACAACACUAUCAUCAGCUCUAAAUGUAGCAUUAGAUUUGGAAGUAAGGAAAUUAGUGAUUUUUGCUGAAGGGUGGAACAAUGGGUCUUCAGGCUGAUAAGUUGCAGCAAUUAUAGUGAAAACCAAAACCCCAACUACAAAUAUAGUAAAACAAAGAUUCCCAAUCAUAGCCAUUGCAUUUUGACCCAAAUUUUCUGGCCUGAAACUUCCACUCCUAGACAGCAAAAGUGAAGGCCGACCCAACAUUUUUUCCCCACUUUUUCUCACUAUAGCAUUAAAGCUUCAAACACAACAAAGAACUAAAUCUCAUACAGCUUGGUGAUUGAACAUAGAUUUCAGUACUUCUCUUUCAUUCUCUCUGUGAGUGGAGAGUAAUCAGUAAAGUGAUGCUAAUUUACUUAUUAUGUACACCGACAAAAACAU
rnacentral:misc_RNA from 1 species